rnacentral:sRNA from 1 species
AGGAGAAAAUGGGUAU